UGGGGUGUGACUCAGUGGUAAAGUGCUUGCCUAGCAUAUGCAAGACCCUAGGUUCAAUCCCUAGCACCAAAA
rnacentral:tRNA from 1 species